GGGAGUGUGGUGUAAUGGUAGCACAGCGGUCUCCAAAACCGUAUGAUGGAGGUUCAAAUCCUUUCACUCCUGCCA
rnacentral:tRNA from 1 species